rnacentral:rRNA from 1 species
GACGAACGCUGGCGGCGUGCUUAACACAUGCAAGUCGAACGGAAAGGCGCGGAGUUUGUGCGGUGCUCGAGAGGCGAACGGGUGAGUAACACGUGAGUAUCCUGCCCUUGACUGUGGGAGAACUUCAGGAAACUGGGGAGAAAACAGGAUAGGAGCUCCUGCAGCACGGGGGGGGAUGGAAAGUGUCGGCGGUGGGGGAUGGUCUCGCGGCUUAUGAGCCUGUGUGUGGGGUAGUGGCUGACCAAGGCUUUGACGGGUAGCCCGCCUGGGAGGGUGGCCGGCGACCUUGCGCCUGCGGUACGGCCCAGAAUGCUACGGGCCGCAGCGGUGGGGAAUCUUGCACAAUGGGCGGACGCGUGAUGCAGAGGCGCCGCGUGCGUAAUGCCGGCCUUCGGGUUGUAAACCGCUUUCGACUUUGCCGUGGACUGCGUGACGGUACUGAGUCAGAAAGCCACGGCUAACUACGUG